AGGAAACUUCAGAAUACUUACUCCGUGGCAUCAAAAUGCUCAACUCCUAGGUCUUCAUCCCAGAUAAAAAUAUAGUCAUAUGCGGCAACAAUGUCGGGAUGCAGAAACCUUUUCGCGUACCACCUUAUAAAGAGAACACUUACCUCACUGGGAUUUCCCCACAAUCUCCGGAGAUAGUAGUCGGACUCAGAAGAAACGAUAUCUGGAGGUAAUCUUUCUGCCCCUCUUGGGUUUGAUGGGACCCAAAUCUGCUCAGAACAAGGAUGACUAUCAGAUAAAAAUGUGAUUUUAUCUUAGCUUGUAUAAUCUCAAAAAUGUGUCUGCUGUUUACCUGUAAUUAAAUAUGAUGCAAAAGCAUCUAUCGCGAGUGCAACUUAAAAGUUACAUUGAAAAAAAAAGGUUGGAAGAUUAUUAUCAGUUCCUACGAAUGAUAGGCUAGAAUCUGGAAUGUUUAUGACCGCCCCCAGGGCUUUGGUCUAUCUCUAACAAUGUAGUGCAUGAUGUGUGGUUAGACGCACGUCAUUGGUUCGAACAGAGUGCCACUGGCCCUCGGGAAUUUCCUGGUUAUCAAAAACAAAUACUGCUGAUAACCAUAUAUUCUGCUCGAGCAGGGAUCUAUUGAAAAGCAUCGAUCUAUCACUCAAUGUGCAUACUUUGUGUCUUGUGUUGAUGGAAAAUAGCAAGAAUAAGUUUCUUCUGUAUUCUUGGAAGGAUGCAUAUCGAAGAUUGGUGUUUGCAC